rnacentral:rRNA from 1 species
GAUGAACGCUAGCUACAGGCUUAACACAUGCAAGUCGAGGGGCAUCAGGAAGAAAGCUUGCUUUCUUUGCUGGCGACCGGCGCACGGGUGAGUAACACGUAUCCAACCUGCCCUUUACUCGGGGAUAGCCUUUCGAAAGAAAGAUUAAUACCCGAUGGCAUAAUGAUUCCGCAUGGUUUCAUUAUUAAAGGAUUCCGGUAAAGGAUGGGGAUGCGUUCCAUUAGGUUGUUGGUGAGGUAACGGCUCACCAAGCCUUCGAUGGAUAGGGGUUCUGAGAGGAAGGUCCCCCACAUUGGAACUGAGACACGGUCCAAACUCCUACGGGAGGCAGCAGUGAGGAAUAUUGGUCAAUGGGCGCUAGCCUGAACCAGCCAAGUAGCGUGAAGGAUGAAGGCUCUAUGGGUCGUAAACUUCUUUUAUAUAAGAAUAAAGUGCAGUAUGUAUACUGUUUUGUAUGUAUUAUAUGAAUAAGGAUCGGCUAACUCCGUGCCAGCAGCCGCGGUAAUACGGAGGAUCCGAGCGUUAUCCGGAUUUAUUGGGUUUAAAGGGAGCGUAGGUGGACUGGUAAGUCAGUUGUGAAAGUUUGCGGCUCAACCGUAAAAUUGCAGUUGAUACUGUCAGUCUUGAGUACAGUAGAGGUGGGCGGAAUUCGUGGUGUAGCGGUGAAAUGCUUAGAUAUCACGAAGAACUCCGAUUGCGAAGGCAGCUCACUGGACUGCAACUGACACUGAUGCUCGAAAGUGUGGGUAUCAAACAGGAUUAGAUACCCUGGUAGUCCACACAGUAAACGAUGAAUACUCGCUGUUUGCGAUAUACAGUAAGGGGCCAAGCGAAAGCAUUAAGUAUUCCACCUGGGGAGUACGCCGGCAACGGUGAAACUCAAAGGAAUUGACGGGGGCCCGCACAAGCGGAGGAACAUGUGGUUUAAUUCGAUGAUACGCGAGGAACCUUACCCGGGCUUAAAUUGCAGUGGAAUGAUGUGGAAACAUGUCAGUGAGCAAUCACCGCUGUGAAGGUGCUGCAUGGUUGUCGUCAGCUCGUGCCGUGAGGUGUCGGCUUAAGUGCCAUAACGAGCGCAACCCUUAUCUUCAGUUACUAACAGGUCAUGCUGAGGACUCUGGAGAGACUGCCGUCGUAAGAUGUGAGGAAGGUGGGGAUGACGUCAAAUCAGCACGGCCCUUACGUCCGGGGCUACACACGUGUUACAAUGGGGGGUACAGAAGGCAGCUAGCGGGUGACCGUAUGCUAAUCCCAAAAUCCUCUCUCAGUUCGGAUCGAAGUCUGCAACCCGACUUCGUGAAGCUGGAUUCGCUAGUAAUCGCGCAUCAGCCACGGCGCGGUGAAUACGUUCCCGGGCCU